rnacentral:rRNA from 1 species
GAUGAACGCUGGCGGCGUGCCUAAUACAUGCCAGUCGAGCGAACAGACGAGGAGCUUGCUCCUCUGACGUUAGCGGCGGACGGGUGAGUAACACGUGGAUAACCUACCUAUAAGACUGGGAUAACUUCGGGAAACCGGAGCUAAUACCGGAUAAUAUAUUGAACCGCAUGGUUCAAUAGUGAAAGAUGGUUUUGCUGUCACUUAUAGAUGGAUCCGCGCCGCAUUAGCUAGUUGGUAAGGUAACGGCUUACCAAGGCAACGAUGCGUAGCCGACCUGAGAGGGUGAUCGGCCACACUGGAACUGAGACACGGUCCAGACUCCUACGGGAGGCAGCAGUAGGGAAUCUUCCGCAAUGGGCGAAAGCUUGACGGAGCAACGCCGCGUGAGUGAUGAAGGUCUUCGGAUCGUAAAACUCUGUUAUUAGGGAAGAACAAAUGUGUAAGUAACUAUGCACGUCUUGACGGUACCUAAUCAGAAAGCCACGGCUAACUACGUG